AAAACCCCCUAAAACCCGAAGACAAACCCAUUUGAAUAACGAAGCCCGGUGGAGCCUAAUAGCAAGAUAAAAAUAUCCUCAUUGAGCUACCAAACCUAGACGUCUCUCACUUUCUCUCUCUAUUCUCUCCAGCUCUUGCCCUUUUCAUAUUCCAACAAUCCGAUACUUUGUGAACCAAGCAGAACUCGGUUCUAUUGUAAGACAAGCCAUAGAGACAGAGAGAAGAACAUGGAAGAGAGUUUGCUACCAAGACAGGUUGACGAGAAACGGCAGGGUAUUAUUGGUCCCACUCCAACCCCAACAUGGGGUGUAUUCAUUCAAGAAGUGAAAAGACUUGGUUACAUAGCGGGACCAAUGGUGGCUGUGAUUCUAACACAGUACUCCUUGCAAGUAAUAUCCAUGAUGAUGGUUGGUCACCUUGGUGAGCUUGCCCUCUCUAGUGCCGCCAUGGCUCUCUCUCUUUCUGGUGUCACCGGUUUCAGUCCCAUGAUGGGGAUGGCAAGUGCAUUGGAAACCCUAUGCGGGCAGGCUUAUGGAGCUAAGCAAUAUAAAAAACUUGGAACUCAAACUUAUACAGCAAUUUUCUGCCUAAACUUAGUCUGUAUCCCUCUAUCUGUCAUAUGGAUCUACAUGGGAAAGAUACUCCAUUUCACUGGUCAAGAUCCUGCAAUUUCGCAUGAAGCCGGAAAAUUUACAGUGUGGCUUGUUCCUGCACUCUUUGCUUAUGCAACUCUUCAGCCACUUGUUAGAUAUUUUCAGACACAAAGUUUUAUCAUGCCCAUGCUGAUAAGCUCUUGUGCCACUCUUUGUUUCCAUAUACCUCUCUGCUGGGCCUUAGUAUACAAGUCUGGGCUAAAAAAUGUGGGAUCUGCGGUAGCAAUGGGUAUUUCAUAUUGGUUGAAUGUAAUCUUUCUUGGAUUAUACAUAAAGUACUCUUCCGCCUGUGCAAAAACUCGUGUUCCAAUUUCCAAGGAGUUAUUCUACGGGGUCGGAGAGUUUUUCCGCUUCGCCAUCCCAUCUGCAGUAAUGAUCUGCCUUGAGUGGUGGUCAUUUGAGCUGCUUAUCUUGCUCUCAGGGUUCUUACCAAAUCCACAGCUUCAAACUUCAGUCCUAUCUGUGUGUCUCAUGACUAUCUCAACACUUUAUGGGAUACCAUUUGGACUUGGUGCCGCAGCAAGCACUAGAGUCGCAAAUGAACUAGGAGCUGGGAACCCACGAGCAGCGCGUUUAGCUGUCUAUGCUGCGAUGUUUCUUGCAGUUUCAGAGACAAUUAUGGUAACUUCAGCCCUUUUUGCCAGCAGGCGUGUUUUUGGCUAUAUUUUCAGCAAUGAAAAGGAAGUAAUUGAUUAUGUCACAACGAUGGAUCCUCUGGUUUGUCUGUCGGUUAUAAUGGACAGCUUACAAGGAGUACUUUCAGGGGUUGCGAGAGGGUGUGGAUGGCAGCAUAUAGGGGCUUAUAUAAAUCUCGGAGCCUUCUAUCUUUGUGGGAUUCCAGUUGCUGCCUUGUUGGCUUUCUGGUUAAAUUUAGGAGGCAUGGGCCUUUGGAUUGGAAUUCAAAUCGGUGCCUUCACUCAAACAAUUGUACUCUCUAUUGUCACGAGCUGCACAAAUUGGGAAAAACAGGCAAGAAUGGCAAGGGAGAGGAUUUUUGAAGGUCAUGACAAUGGAUUAAUAUGAUUCGAGAGAUAUGACCAGUGAUCUAGUUUUGCUAUGUAUGAGAGAUUGUAAAAGGGGAAAGUCUGAUUAAGCUGAUAAGAUCCUGUGUCAAAAUCCUAUCGACGUUCCGAGGAGGAGAAAAUCUGAGGUUACUCAUUUGUUCUUUGGGUAGUGUGUGUGUGUGUAUCGUAUUUUAAUCCUCUACGUUUUCACCAUAGAAUACUUUGUAUAUCGAGCAAAUCAGCUUUAAGCCUCGAAGUAUCUUCGAGGUAGUAUUUUGUGCACUUGCGUGGGACGAGAUUACUCUUAAACUUUACCUAAUUUUGUUUUUAAGUUUUAAGUUGA